rnacentral:lncRNA from 1 species
CUUGCUGUCACUGUCCCAAGGGUUUUACCCUGUCUCCUCCUACAGUCCCACUCCAAGUAAACCUCUACCUCGAGUUCAACAAAUCCGUGCACUGACAUCUUCUGCUGGUAAGUUAUUGGAUUCCUUUUGACAUUGAAGUGGUUUGAGCAAAUUAAUUAGUUUCUGGGUUUAUCAUUCAUAUUUAUUAAUCACCUGUGAGUUAUUGGAUUUUUUUUAACACAUUUAUUGGUGUUAUAGGUAGAUGUUUGAUUUUUUAAUUUGUUGCUAUUGGUUAUUGCAGACCUCUGGAGUUGCAGAUAGAGCUAUGGCUGCGGGUUGUGAAAUCACAGCUGCAGAAUUCUUGCAAGUAUGCCUUUUUUUUUUUUUUUUUUUUUUGAAAGCUAAUUUGUUUUGUUUAGCCUGGAAUUUUGCGUGAAUUAUGAUAGUAAUUACUG